CAGGCAGACCAGCUGAGGCAAACUUGCAAGCAAGGAAUAGAACUUGUAAAGCUGUGAAAAGAAUAGGGAAACAUGCAACUGGAGUAUCCUUGGAGAAAGGCAGCGGAUCAGGUGCAAUCACCAGCAAGGCCAGCUUGCUGAACACCAGCCCAAACACAGCCAUCACCACACCUUUCCUCUGUGUUUGAUCCAGGAAGUUGGUUGGACUACAGGAGCAGUGGUUUGCACGGCUGCCUCACAGCUGAGAGGUCCAGGGUAUGAAUCUUGGCUCAGACACCCACCUAUAUGGCUUUUGCAUCUUGUCCCUCUGAUUUAAAAAAGUAUGGCCUCUUGGAAAUAAAUGCUACCAUGGCAUACCUGGCUGGUUGACUGGGGUAGUGAGAGCGGAUGUGUUGUCCCAGCAUCACGUGCGACUGAUCCUGAAGGUUCUCCACUUGUUCUGGAUCUUUUAGACCACGGGUCUCUGUGGACAAGAAGGACCAAUAGGCAGCUCCCCACCGGGCUUGAAGAGCACAAUGGCCUUGAGGCAGGCGAACUCCGUGGGGUCGACGGCAAGGGCCUUAAAGCGGCUAAAGACCUCCUGCAGGAGUCUCAGGUCCAGGCUCGUGUAGCUGGUC